UCUACUCCUAAGAGAUCAAACACAUUUCUUACAAUUAACAUUAAUCUCUUCACAGGGGAAGCCAGGACCAACCCCCUUCACUAUGCCCCACUUCUCAAAGGCUCUGAGAUCUCUUUAUACCACUACGAACUUCAAUAUCAGUUUUUCUGGAGACAAAUCACAUAAAACAAAUAUGAUGAAGUGUACGUGUGGAGGUCAGAGGUCAGAGGUCAGAGAUCAGAGGUCAACCUUCAGGAGUCGGCCCUUGCCUUCUACUGUGUGGUACAUCACAGUUGCCUUUGGCCUAUCUGAAUUACUGGAAUGACUCCUUUUGUGUGUUAAAUGAAAUAAAGGUCAUCUGAACACAAGCAAC
ensembl:lncRNA